CAGUCCCUGAAGCUUCCUUCUCACCUUGUAACUGUCCCCUCCCUCUGACAUGUAAUAGGUGUUCGUUAAAUUUGAAAUGGACAAGGCUAUUCAAUCUCAGACUUCCAGUUUUCAAAACUGCAAAGUAAUUAAACUUUGUAUGUCAUCUAACCUUUAGCAUUUUGUUACAGCAGCAGAAAAUAGAUCAAGACAUUUGCCAACAUUGAAGAUUUAUAUCUGGGCAUAGCAGUAUGUACCUGUCUGUAAUUCCAACAUCUAGGAGACUGGGAACAGAGGGAGUCUGAAGCCACCCUGGGUUAUAUGCGAACUUCUCGAAUACUGGAGGUGCCAAGAAUUUAAGACACUCAGGCUGUGCAGCACCCACCACAUUCAAGUUGAAUGAAAAUCCUACAGUACGCUGCGGAAUCCUACUUCGGAUCCGACCCAUCAAAAUAGGAACCCCUGUCUGGGGCUCGACCGGACGCGGGAACGCCAAAUUCGCGUUCGGAAAGCGUUCUUGCUCUUCCACCCCAGCUCCAGGGCCCUCCUGGGGGAAAUUCUCUUUCAAUUAGAGGUACUAAUCCCGUCAGUGUUCCAGGAAGGGACGCUGUUUCGAGAAGUUACAUGACGCACCCCCUUCAAGGAAUAUUGGGUCGUCUGGGCCGCCGUAGAUUCGAGCGGAGCGCGCGUGCGCAGAAGCCUAGCGGCGGUGCGUCGGGUCAGCAGCUCGG